UGGGGAAUAUUGCACAAUGGGCGAAAGCCUGAUGCAGCAACGCCGCGUGAGGGACGACGGCCUUCGGGUUGUAAACCUCUUUUAGCAAGGAAGAAGCGAAAGUGACGGUACUUGCAGAAAAAGCGCCGGCUAACUACGUGCCAGCAGCCGCGGUAAUACGUAGGGCGCAAGCGUUAUCCGGAAUUAUUGGGCGUAAAGAGCUCGUAGGCGGUUUGUCGCGUCUGCUGUGAAAACCCGAGGCUCAACCUCGGGCCUGCAGUGGGUACGGGCAGACUAGAGUGCGGUAGGGGAGAUUGGAACUCCUGGUGUAGCGGUGGAAUGCGCAGAUAUCAGGAAGAACACCGAUGGCGAAGGCAGAUCUCUGGGCCGUAACUGACGCUGAGGAGCGAAAGGGUGGGGAGCAAACAGGCUUAGAUACCCUGGUAGUCCACCCCGUAAACGUUGGGAACUAGUUGUGGGGUCCAUUCCACGGAUUCCGUGACGCAGCUAACGCAUUAAGUUCCCCGCCUGGGGAGUACGGCCGCAAGGCUAAAACUUAAAUGAAUUGACGGGGUCAUAGCUGUUUCCU
rnacentral:rRNA from 1 species